rnacentral:rRNA from 1 species
AGGACGAACGCUGGCGGCGUGCUUAACACAUGCAAGUCGAGCGGAAAGGCCCUUCGGGGUACUCGAGCGGCGAACGGGUGAGUAACACGUGAGCAACCUGCCCUUAGCUCCGGGAUAGCUCCGGGAAACCGGAAUUAAUACCGGAUACGACCACGGCCGACAUCUGCUGUGGUGGAAAGGAUUCCGGCUAAGGAUGGGCUCGCGGCCUAUCAGCUAGUUGGUGGAGUAACGGCCCACCAAGGCGACGACGGGUAGCCGGCCUGAGAGGGCGACCGGCCACACUGGGACUGAGACACGGCCCAGACUCCUACGGGAGGCAGCAGUGGGGAAUAUUGCGCAAUGGGCGAAAGCCUGACGCAGCGACGCCGCGUGGGGAUGAAGGCCUUCGGGUUGUAAACCCCUUUCAGCAGGGACGAAGCGAAAGUGACGGUACCUGCAGAAGAAGCGCCGGCUAACUACGUGCCAGCAGCCGC